rnacentral:rRNA from 1 species
GGGGGGACCAUCCUCCAAGGCUAAAUACUCCUGACUGACCGAUAGUGAACCAGUACCGUGAGGGAAAGGCGAAAAGAACCCCGGCGAGGGGAGUGAAAAAGAACCUGAAACCGUGUACGUACAAGCAGUGGGAGCACGCUUAGGCGUGUGACUGCGUACCUUUUGUAUAAUGGGUCAGCGACUUAUAUUCUGUAGCAAGGUUAACCGAAUAGGGGAGCCGAAGGGAAACCGAGUCUUAACUGGGCGUUAAGUUGCAGGGUAUAGACCCGAAACCCGGUGAUCUAGCCAUGGGCAGGUUGAAGGUUGGGUAACACUAACUGGAGGACCGAACCGACUAAUGUUGAAAAAUUAGCGGAUGACUUGUGGCUGGGGGUGAAAGGCCAAUCAAACCGGGAGAUAGCUGGUUCUCCCCGAAAGCUAUUUAGGUAGCGCCUCGUGAAUUCAUCUCCGGGGGUAGAGCACUGUUUCGGCAAGGGGGUCAUCCCGACUUACCAACCCGAUGCAAACUGCGAAUACCGGAGAAUGUUAUCACGGGAGACACACGGCGGGUGCUAACGUCCGUCGUGAAGAGGGAAACAACCCAGACCGCCAGCUAAGGUCCCAAAGUCAUGGUUAAGUGGGAAACGAUGUGGGAAGGCCCAGACAGCCAGGAUGUUGGCUUAGAAGCAGCCAUCAUUUAAAGAAAGCGUAAUAGCUCACUGGUCGAGUCGGCCUGCGCGGAAGAUGUAACGGGGCUAAACCAUGCACCGAAGCUGCGGCAGCGACGCUGAUGCGUUGUUGGGUAGGGGAGCGUUCUGUAAGCCUGUGAAGGUGUGCUGUGAGGCAUGCUGGAGGUAUCAGAAGUGCGAAUGCUGACAUAAGUAACGAUAAAGCGGGUGAAAAGCCCGCUCGCCGGAAGACCAAGGGUUCCUGUCCAACGUUAAUCGGGGCAGGGUGAGUCGACCCCUAAGGCGAGGCCGAAAGGCGUAGUCGAUGGGAAACAGGUUAAUAUUCCUGUACUUGGUGUUACUGCGAAGGGGGGACGGAGAAGGCUAUGUUGGCCGGGCGACGGUUGUCCCGGUUUAAGCGUGUAGGCUGGUUUUCCAGGCAAAUCCGGAAAAUCAAGGCUGAGGCGUGAUGACGAGGCACUACGGUGCUGAAGCAACAAAUGCCCUGCUUCCAGGAAAAGCCUCUAAGCAUCAGGUAACAUCAAAUCGUACCCCAAACCGACACAGGUGGUCAGGUAGAGAAUACCAAGGCGCUUGAGAGAACUCGGGUGAAGGAACUAGGCAAAAUGGUGCCGUAACUUCGGGAGAAGGCACGCUGAUAUGUAGGUGAAGCGACUUGCUCGUGGAGCUGAAAUCAGUCGAAGAUACCAGCUGGCUGCAACUGUUUAUUAAAAACACAGCACUGUGCAAACACGAAAGUGGACGUAUACGGUGUGACGCCUGCCCGGUGCCGGAAGGUUAAUUGAUGGGGUCAGCGCAAGCGAAGCUCUUGAUCGAAGCCCCGGUAAACGGCGGCCGUAACUAUAACGGUCCUAAGGUAGCGAAAUUCCUUGUCGGGUAAGUUCCGACCUGCACGAAUGGCGUAAUGAUGGCCAGGCUGUCUCCACCCGAGACUCAGUGAAAUUGAACUCGCUGUGAAGAUGCAGUGUACCCGCGGCAAGACGGAAAGACCCCGUGAACCUUUACUAUAGCUUGACACUGAACAUUGAGCCUUGAUGUGUAGGAUAGGUGGGAGGCUUUGAAGUGUGGACGCCAGUCUGCAUGGAGCCGGCCUUGAAAUACCACCCUUUAAUGUUUGAUGUUCUAACGUUGACCCGUGAUCCGGGUUGCGGACAGUGUCUGGUGGGUAGUUUGACUGGGGCGGUCUCCUCCUAAAGAGUAACGGAGGAGCACGAAGGUUGGCUAAUCCUGGUCGGACAUCAGGAGGUUAGUGCAAUGGCAUAAGCCAGCUUGACUGCGAGCGUGACGGCGCGAGCAGGUGCGAAAGCAGGUCAUAGUGAUCCGGUGGUUCUGAAUGGAAGGGCCAUCGCUCAACGGAUAAAAGGUACUCCGGGGAUAACAGGCUGAUACCGCCCAAGAGUUCAUAUCGACGGCGGUGUUUGGCACCUCGAUGUCGGCUCAUCACAUCCUGGGGCUGAAGUAGGUCCCAAGGGUAUGGCUGUUCGCCAUUUAAAGUGGUACGCGAGCUGGGUUUAGAACGUCGUGAGACAGUUCGGUCCCUAUCUGCCGUGGGCGCUGGAGAACUGAGGGGGGCUGCUCCUAGUACGAGAGGACCGGAGUGGACGCAUCACUGGUGUUCGGGUUGUCAUGCCAAUGGCACUGCCCGGUAGCUAAAUGCGGAAGAGAUAAGUGCUGAAAGCAUCUAAGCACGAAACUUGCCCCGAGAUGAGUUCUCCCUGACUCCUUGAGAGUCCUGAAGGAACGUUGAAGACGACGACGUUGAUAGGCCGGGUGUGUAAGCGCAGCGAUGCGUUGAGCUAACCGGUACUAAUGAACCGUGAGG